GGAUGUGAGGGUGAUCUGGCUACAACAUGUCACCUCAUUGAUCACCAGGGUUGAUUCGACUGAUCUGGCUGAUAGGCCGGUAUCCCCUUCCUCUCUUACUGCUCCAUGUGUGUCCCUCCCUAAGCUGCAUGCUGGUUUGAAGAUGACUGAGACAGACCCAGAAUAAUGUCUAGGGUAUAUGAGUAGCUGCCCUUUUGUGCUAGAGCCUCCAGGGAAGUUCUCAAUUGGGCUGGGGAGUUAGCAUAAUGGUUAUGCAAAAAGACUUUCUUGCCUGAGGCACCAAAG
ensembl:misc_RNA 7SK 7SK RNA